rnacentral:tRNA from 1 species
GGCCUCGUGGCCUAAUGGAUAAGGCGUCGGACUUCGGAUCCGAAGAUUGCAGGUUCGAGUCCGGCCGGGGUCG